GUGGCUCAGUGGUAGAGCAAUGCCUCACAGGGUAAGAGGUCGCUGGUUCAAUCCCAGCCAGAUCACUGCGAUAUGUGUGAAUGUGGUGUGAAAGAAGGGGUGGGAUGGGUCGGGUCCCACCCUGACCUACGGGGCCAUGUACAGCAGGGGUUAUGCUGCUUUUUACCACAAAAUUAAAUUUAGCUGUAUAAAAAUUCAGACCCUCGUCCCUUCUCCUCCCGUUUCGGUUACUAUCAUUUCCUUUCCAGAGGGACGACCCUCCAGAAAGAAAAGGAUAAUAACCGAUACACCAAACCUCAAACACAAUGUGCGGGUCUCACCUGUCCAGCAGCAGACGUCCGUCCUUACAGUCCACGGCUGUCAAAUGUCCCAGAGCUCCGCUUCUCUUGGCUGUACAGUCCAAACACAAGCUUCAUUCUGGAGAGGAAACACACAAAUAAAGACUUUACUACAAAAGCACAUCUGAAACAGCAGAACUGAUCAGAAUUCAGCAACAUAAUCCUUCAUCAACAUAAGAUAACGUACAGUACAGUGUCUAUUGACAGCUACAAUAUUGAAGACUGCAGCUCUACAAAAGCUCACUAAUUGACUUUUAAACAAGGAUAAGUGCAGAUUUAUGCUGCUUUAUAAUAUAAAUAUCACAAUAUUCUCUCUCAAAUAAACUAUAAACAUAAACUCUAUCAGUGACAUUAGCAAGAAACAUGUAAACAAUCAGAUAAUACUUCAUGAAAGCUGAGGAAAGCUUCAUUCAUGCUUGUUUGUCAGACUCCACUGUUGAACAUGUUGAAGAUUAAAGACAGCAUCAACAUCAGCUCUGACUCUUACAGUGUUCAACUCAUUUCAUCCAUCACAACAGAAAUAUACAUCAACUGACAGACGAGCUGUAUUCAUAACAGCAGACACUAUUAAUCAGCGCUCUUUAUAAAGAGCAGAAGCUGUUUAUAGAGCCCGUGUCAGUCAUUUCACAAGCAGAAAGAGAACUUUAUAGGAGCUGAUACUUACAGGUGAGUCUCUUCAGUCGAUUCCUGCACUUGAUCGCAGAUUCUGCUGCUUUAAUCUGCUGUUGAGCUGAAAUAUGUGCUGUUUAAACACAUUAAGAGUCUGUCGCUAAGCUGUCAUCUGUAAAUUAAGUAUUUAAAACAAACUGCAGGUGUUUUGUUUUGGAGACUGUCAUCUGUCAUCACACGCUUCUUCCUUGUUGUCAAAAAAACACCUGAAGCUGCGAGUCAGACUGAACCAGAAGCCACUCGCGCCGCCUAGUGGAGCGGAUGAAAAACUGCGCUUCUGCGAUUGAUUUCUAUUUCUUUUUUUUCUCUGGACUUGUGAGUUCUUCAGACACUUCCUCCAGAUCCUCCAUGGGCUGAGGCGUUCCCAGGCAAGCCGAGUGCCUCCAGUGAGUCCUCGUUCUUCCCCCAAGAUCCUUUCAGUGGGACAAGCCAGGAACACAUCCCUAGGCUAAAGCAAAAGCUCUUCUGAACUGGCUUCUUGGAGGUCAGGGAGGCCCCUACUCAAACACACCACAGCAUUCACUUGUAUGGUGGAGAUGUGCAGCCUGUGCUAUGAAGCCAGAUUAGUGGCUAGCUAGUUCAGUGUUAGUUUAGUUUGCACCAAUUCUGGGUUUUAGGUGCCAUGAAAGGAGCUCAGCUAUGCUCCUCUCUGUGAUACCAUGACAAUAAAUAAUGAUUUAAGUCGAGCUGCUUUUAUAUUACCUAAAAACCAAAAUCGGUGCAAACUAAACUGAAAGUUAACCGUCUAACCGGCCCAUCUUCAUGCUACAGGCCCCUGACUGGACUGCUGAGGUGUUUAAUUUAAUGAUGUUUAGGACAGAGGUUUGGUUCAGUUUUGCUUUGAGUGUCUAAACUGAUGUGGCAAGAAAACAUAUAUUAAUGUGUGAAACUCUGAGUUAUACAGUAUUAUAAAAAUGGUCAGUAAAAUAUAUGAUCGAACUCAAAAUGAUUAAACAUACAUGUGUAAAUAACAAUUAAUACCAAAGUCAAUAAUUAAGCAGUUAUUUAUUGAAAUGUUUUUUAAGUACAUAAAUAAUCAUUAUUAUCUGUGUCUUAAACAAUGCAGCACAUCAGUCUGGAGCUUCUAGUGAUGCUGAAGGCCUUUAUUAGCUGCUGCUGCUGUGUUUAAUCAGGGUUGCAGCUAAACUCAGGAGAGCAGCUUAGCAGGAUCAGGAUCACAGAGCUGUUCUUAAAGUCCUGCUGAUGUUUUCAUGUACGAAUGCAGAUACUUAUUGUCCACAAGGUGGCGCUCAUUAACACACUGAUCUGCUCUCUUGUGUUCCUGUUAUUCAUGUUUAAUCAGUCUUUUAGCUGCUUUUCAAUGUAGUCUCAUGACCAAACUUCUGACCCUCAAUCUCAGUGGCGCAGCAGGAAAGUCAUCGCCUUCAGUCAACAAGACCAGAGUUCUGCUCUCAAUAUUGCUGAUGCUGAAUUAUUAUCAGUGUUAGCUAAACUAGACUUACUAACAGUAAUAAGGAAGUAAAUAAC